ACGGUACUUAAUGCUUAUUAAAUAUUCUUUCUAAUUUCAAAUUCCCUUGCUUUGCUCCAUGAAUUAGGCAUUUGAAAUUCAUCCAACCACCUAGCAGCCUUAUCCACCGUUUGACCGCUUCAGCUGGGAAGAGUUUUGGUCCAACUCUACUACUCUCCUACACGCAUGCAGCAAAAAGGGGCAUCCGCGCGCUCAGCAGCUCGAACAUGGGCCUUCCACACGCAUAGGCACGCUACUCGCCACUGCG
rnacentral:lncRNA from 1 species